rnacentral:rRNA from 1 species
AGAGUUUGAUCCUGGCUCAGAUUGAACGCUGGCGGCAUGCUUUACACAUGCAAGUCGGACGGCAGCACAGAGAAGCUUGCUUCUUGGGUGGCGAGUGGCGAACGGGUGAGUAACAUAUCGGAACGUACCGAGCAGUGGGGGAUAACUAAUCGAAAGAUUAGCUAAUACCGCAUAUUUUCUGAGGAAGAAAGCAGGGGACCAUUUGGCCUUGCGCUGUUUGAGCGGCCGAUAUCUGAUUAGCUAGUUGGUGGGGUAAAGGCCUACCAAGGCGACGAUCAGUAGCGGGUCUGAGAGGAUGAUCCGCCACACUGGGACUGAGACACGGCCCAGACUCCUACGGGAGGCAGCAGUGGGGAAUUUUGGACAAUGGGCGCAAGCCUGAUCCAGCCAUGCCGCGUGUCUGAAGAAGGCCUUCGGGUUGUAAAGGACUUUUGUUAGGGAAGAAAAAGGAGCGGUUAAUACCCGUUUCUGCUGACGGUACCUAAAGAAUAAGCACCGGCUAACUACGUGCCAGCAGCCGCGGUAAUACGUAGGGUGCGAGCGUUAAUCGGAAUUACUGGGCGUAAAGCGAGCGCAGACGGUUACUUAAGCAGGAUGUGAAAUCCCCGGGCUCAACCUGGGAACUGCGUUCUGAACUGGGUAGCUAGAGUAUGUCAGAGGGGGGUAGAAUUCCACGUGUAGCAGUGAAAUGCGUAGAGAUGUGGAGGAAUACCGAUGGCGAAGGCAGCCCCCUGGGAUAACACUGACGUUCAUGCUCGAAAGCGUGGGUAGCAAACAGGAUUAGAUACCCUGGUAGUCCACGCCCUAAACGAUGUCGAUUAGCUGUUGGGCAGCUUGACUGCUUAGUAGCGUAGCUAACGCGUGAAAUCGACCGCCUGGGGAGUACGGUCGCAAGAUUAAAACUCAAAGGAAUUGACGGGGACC